UGAACGCUGGCGGCGUGCCUAAUACAUGCAAGUCGAACGAGGCGCAGCAAUGCGCCGAGUGGCGAACGGGUGAGUAACACGUAGGUAACCUGCCCCUAAGUCUGGGAUACCCGAGGGGAAACCUUGGCUAAUACCGGAUAGCGACGGAGAGGACACUCCCCUCCGCCCGAAAGUCGCGUUUGCGACGCUUUCGGAUGGACCUGCGGCACAUUAGCUAGUUGGCGGGGCAACGGCCCACCAAGGCGAGGAUGUGUAGCCGACCUGAGAGGGUGAACGGCCACAAUGGAACUGAGACACGGUCCAUACUCCUACGGGAGGCAGCAGUAGGGAGUUUUCGGCAAUGGGCGAAAGCCUGACCGAGCAACGCCGCGUGAAGUGAGAAGGUCUUCGGAUUGUAAAGCUCUGUUACGAGGGACGAACGGUGGGGUCAGGAAAUGGGCCCCAAUUGACGGUACCUCGCCAGAAAGUGACGGCUAACUACGUGCCAGCAGCUGC
rnacentral:rRNA from 1 species